CUGGGCCUCCGUGGCCUCCGACAUCUUCUCCGGGACCCAGAUAGAGCCCAGCGCCCUGGUGCAGCGGCUGGACCUGGACGCGGAGAGCGCUGCCUCCCCCCAGAGAGGAGCGCAGCCCCCGGCGGAGCUGCCCAAGAGGGAGAAGCGGAAGCUGAGACGCGCCCGGUGGCUGCAGAAGAUCGAGGCCCUGGAGCUGGCCCAGCGG